GUUAGGGAUUAGAGUCUCAAC
rnacentral:snRNA from 1 species